CUUAUUUACCCGUGUGCACAUCUUAUUUACCCGUGUGCAGGUCUUAUUUACCCGUGUGCACAUCUUAUUUACCCGUGUGCACGUCUUAUUUACCCGUGUGCACGUCUUAUUUACCCGUGUGCACGUCUUAUUUACCCGUGUGCACGUCUUAUUUACCCGUGUGCACGUCUUAUUUACCCGUGUGUACGUCUUAUUUACCCGUGUGUACAUCUUAUUUACCCGUGUGUAUGUCUUAUUUACCCGUGUGCCGGUCUUAUUUACCCGUGUGCAAGUCUAAUUGGAGCGUAGGUGCUAGAUGAUGUGGUACUGACUGGAACGUAGGUGCUGACUGGAACGUAGAUGCUAGGUGAUGUGGUACUGAUAGGUGAUGUGGUACUGACUGGAACGUAGGUGCUAGAUGAUGUGGUACUGACUGGAACGUAGGUGCUGACUGGAACGUAGGUGCUAGGUGAUGUGGUACUGACUGGAACGUAGGUGCUGACUGGAACGUAGGUGCUAGGUGAUGGGGUACUGACUGGAACGUAGGUGCUAGGUGAUGUGGUACUGACUGGAACAUAGGUACUAGAUGAUGUGGUACUGACUGGAACGUAGGUACUAGAUGAUGUGGUACUGACUGGAACGUAGGUACUAGAUGAUGUGGUACUGACUGGAACGUAGAUGUUAGGUGAUGUGGUACUGACUGGAACGUAGAUGUUAGGUGAUGUGGUGCCGACUGGAACGUAGAUGUUAGGUGAUGUGGUGCCGACUGGAACGUAGAUGUUAGGUGAUGUGGUGCCGACUGGAAUGUAGAUGUUAGGUGAUGUGGUGCCGACUGGAACGUAGAUGUUAGGUGAUGUGGUGCCGACUGGAACGUAGAUGUUAGGUGAUGUGGUGCCGACUGGAACGUAGAUGUUAGGUGAUGUGGUGCCGACUGGAACGUAGAUGUUUGGUGAUGUGGUGCCGACUGGAACGUAGAUGUUAGGUGAUGUGGUGCCGACUGGAACGUAGAUGUUAGGUGAUGUGGUGCCGACUGGAACGUAGAUGUUAGGUGAUGUGGUGCCGACUGGAAUGUAGAUGUUAGGUGAUGUGGUGCCGACUGGAAUGUAGAUGUUAGGUGAUGUGGUGCCGACUGGAACGUAGAUGUUAGGUGAUGUGGUGCCGACUGGAACGUAGAUGUUAGGUGAUGUGGUGCCGACUGGAACGUAGAUGUUAGGUGAUGUGGUGCCGACUGGAACGUAGAUGCUAGGUGAUGUGGUACUGACUGGAAUGUAGGCGCUGACUGGAAUGUAGAUGUUAGGUGAUGUGGUACUGAUGUUUGAUGUGGUACUGACUGGAACGUAGGUAAUGACUGGAACAUAGGUGCUAGGUGAUGUGGUGCCGACUGGAACGUAGAUGUUAGGUGAUGUGGUGCCGACUGGAACGUAGAUGUUAGGUGAUGUGGUGCCGACUGGAACGUAGAUGUUAGGUGAUGUGGUGCCGACUGGAACGUAGAUGUUAGGUGAUGUGGUGCCGACUGGAACGUAGAUGUUAGGUGAUGUGGUGCCGACUGGAACGUAGAUCUUAGGUGAUGUGGUGCCGACUGGAACGUAGAUGUUAGGUGAUGUGGUGCCGACUGGAACGUAGAUGUUAGGUGAUGUGGUGCCGACUGGAACGUAGAUGUUAGGUGAUGUGGUGCCGACUGGAAUGUAGAUGUUAGGUGAUGUGGUGCCGACUGGAACGUAGAUGUUAGGUGAUGUGGUGCCGACUGGAACGUAGAUGUUAGGUGAUGUGGUGCCGACUGGAACGUAGAUGUUAGGUGAUGUGGUGCCGACUGGAACGUAGAUGUUAGGUGAUGUGGUGCUGACUGGAACGUAGAUGCUAGGUGAUGUGGUACUGACUGGAAUGUAGGCGCUGACUGGAAUGUAGAUGUUAGGUGAUGUGGUACUGAUGUUUGAUGUGGUACUGACUGGAAUGUAGGUAAUGACUGGAACAUAGGUGCUAGGUGAUGUGGUGCCGACUGGAACGUAGAUGUUAGGUGAUGUGGUGCCGACUGGAACGUAGAUGUUAGGUGAUGUGGUGCC